rnacentral:rRNA from 1 species
UGGGGAAUAUUGCACAAUGGAGGAAACUCUGAUGCAGCAACGCCGCGUGGAGGAUGACACAUUUCGGUGCGUAAACUCCUUUUAUAUGAGAAGAUAAUGACGGUAUCAUAUGAAUAAGCACCGGCUAACUCCGUGCCAGCAGCCGCGGUAAUACGGGGGGUGCAAGCGUUACUCGGAAUCACUGGGCGUAAAGAGCAUGUAGGCGGGUGAAUAAGUUGGAAGUGAAAUCCUAUAGCUUAACUAUAGAACUGCUUCCAAAACUGUUCACCUAGAGUAUGGGAGAGGUAGAUGGAAUUUCUGGUGUAGGGGUAAAAUCCGUAGAGAUCAGAAGGAAUACCGAUUGCGAAGGCGAUCUACUGGAACAUUACUGACGCUCAGAUGCGAAAGCGUGGGGAGCAAA